rnacentral:rRNA from 1 species
AACUGCUUUUGCACGGGAACAAACACCGGCACGCGUGCCGGCUUGAGUGUACCGUGAGAAUAAGGAUCGGCUAACUCCGUGCCAGCAGCCGCGGUAAUACGGAGGAUCCGAGCGUUAUCCGGAUUUAUUGGGUUUAAAGGGUGCGUAGGCGGCAUGCUAAGUCAGUGGUGAAAGACGGUGGCUCAACCAUCGCAGUGCCGUUGAUACUGGUGUGCUUGAAUGCGGAUGAGGUAGGCGGAAUGUGGCAAGUAGCGGUGAAAUGCAUAGAUAUGCCACAGAACACCGAUUGCGAAGGCAGCUUACCAAGGCGAUAUUGACGCCGAUGCACGAAAGCGUGGGGAUCGAACAGGAUUAGAUACCCUGGUAGUCCACGCCCUAAACGAUGAUGACUCGGUGUCGGCGAUAGAAUGCCGGCGCCCAAGCGAAAGCGUUAAGUCAUCCACCUGGGGAGUACGCCCGCAAGGGUGAAACUCAAAGGAAUUGACGGGGGCCCGCACAAGCGGAGGAGCAUGUGGUUUAAUUCGAUGAUACGCGAGGAACCUUACCCGGGCUUGACAUGCACCGGAUCGCCUCAGAGAUGGGGUUUCCCUUGUGGUCGGUGCACAGGUGGUGCAUGGCUG